rnacentral:rRNA from 1 species
AACGAACGCUGGCGGCAUGCCUAACACAUGCAAGUCGAACGAGACCUUCGGGUCUAGUGGCGCACGGGUGCGUAACGCGUGGGAACCUGCCCUUAGGUUCGGAAUAACUCCCCGAAAGGGGUGCUAAUACCGGAUAAUGUCUUCGGACCAAAGAUUUAUCGCCUUUGGAUGGGCCCGCGUUGGAUUAGCUAGUUGGUAGGGUAAGAGCCUACCAAGGCGACGAUCCAUAGCUGGUCUGAGAGGAUGAUCAGCCACACUGGGACUGAGACACGGCCCAGACUCCUACGGGAGGCAGCAGUGGGGAAUAUUGGACAAUGGGCGAAAGCCUGAUCCAGCAAUGCCGCGUGAGUGAUGAAGGCCUUAGGGUUGUAAAGCUCUUUUACCCGGGAUGAUAAUGACAGUACCGGGAGAAUAAGCGCCGGCUAACUCCGUG